rnacentral:rRNA from 1 species
GACGAACGCUGGCGGCGUGCCUAAUACAUGCAAGUCGAACGCAGUGGGGACGGGUGUGUAACACGUGGGUAAUCUACCCUCAGAGGGGAUAACACUUGGAAACAGGUGCUAAACCGAUAUCGAUGUAUGGACCCGCGUUGCAUUAGCUAGUUGUUGAGGGAACGGCUCACCAAGGCCACGAUGCAUAGCCGAACUGAGAGGGGGAUCGGCCACACUGGGACUGAGACACGGCCCAGACUCCUACGGGAGGCAGCAGUAGGGAAUCUUCGGCAAUGGACGAAAGUCUGACCGAGCAACGCCGCGUGAGUGAAGAAGGUUUUCGGAUCGUAAAACUCUGUUGUUAGAGAAGCGGUAUCUAACCAGAAAGCCACGGCUAACUACGUGCCAGCGCCGCGGUAAUUC